rnacentral:misc_RNA from 1 species
CGCCUCAUGUCUGCCUGUACAUGUAUGUGUUAUCUAACCCCGCGCAACAGGGGGGAGACGUAUUUCUUUUUUGGUGCUGUUGUGCUGUGGUUCGUAUUGUGCUUUCGUCUGUUUAUAUGUGUGGGUGGGUGUGUCACUGGCGAGCAGACGGACUGUGCGAGUUUCUGGCUAUAUGGGUGCGUGUGCUUCGUUUCUGCCUGCAGCGUCGGCUUCUUCUUCGCUUGUGUGGCUGUGUGUGUGUGUUUGUGUGUGUGUGUGUUUGUGUGUGUACGGACCGCCCACCUACUCCUCCCCCCCUCCGCUCCCCUCUCACCCACCGCGUUUUUUUGUUGUGGCUUUGCCCUCAGUACUUCUGUCCUAAUGUCAAUGCGACCUGCGUGUCUCCCUCGCUCUUGUCGUCACUGGGGCUGGAAUGUUUCUGUUGUGUGGUGUGUGUGUGUUUCUGUGUGUGGGUGUUUACCUUUUCGUCCUUCCGCCGUCUUCUCCCCCUGUUCUGCUCGACCCACGCGCCUCCCCCCUCCCUCGUCCUUUUAACGGUCACCACACCUCCAUCACAGUCGGCACAACACGCACGCACACUCUCGGCUCUCUACUCUCCAUUACUUCUCUGUUGGUCCUCCCUCCCCUCCACCUUCUUUCUCGGUUCCUCUUGUCUCACUCGAUCCCGCUCUCUCUCUCUCUCGGCCCCAUCUCUGUGAGCUCUUCUCCCGUUGUUCUACUCUUUAGCCUGUGCGUGCGGGUGCGUUUUCCUUUGUGUUUGCUCUUCUCGUGUCUUCCUCUUUGGUGAGCGUGGUACUCGUCCCGUCGAUGAGUAUGCCGUUGUCUCUAUGGUGUUCCUGUUUAUUAUGACUAUUCGCUUGAAGUGUUUUGCCGGUCUUCCUCCUCCCUCCCUCCCCGCCUCUCCUCACGCCUCGCCCUUCCUCCCCUCGGCUGCCGCUGCCGCUGUGUGGCGGUGACGUAGUGAUGGGCAACUGCUUCGGUGUAUUUUGUGUAUGUAGAGCGGUGGAUGCCGCGCGGUACCGUUUUUUUCGUCUUCGUUUUUGGUUCAUCCCUUUUCCAUCUACGUGUAUUUGACUUCGGUUACUCUUGCUUGUGUGUGCGUCUGCCGGCGUGUGUCUGUGUGUCUGUGUGUAGACCCUUCCCUUCUGAUUUCUCUUCUCCGAUGCUUUGUUCACCUCUUCUCUG